rnacentral:lncRNA from 1 species
AUGUGCAUUGAAAACCUUGAAAAGGUAGGAGAGAGCCUUCUGAAAAAACCAGUUUUGAAGAUGAAUGUGGAUAUCUAUGAGCUAGAGGUAAAAACAAACCAAGGUACAAAUGCUGAGGCUCUUGAGAAAUUGGCUGAGACUUUGUACAAAAUAAAGCAGUUUCUUCAAAAGAAGAACAUGAUUGAAAAGCUUAUGGGACGACCAAUUCUUAAAAAUAUCCCAAACCCUUUUGUUACUGCAAAUUAG